ACUUUGAAACACAUUUCACUCUGUACCAUUCCUCUCUCUUUCGAAACACCUAGAACCAUCAUGGGGGAAAGAGCUUUUAGCUGAAAUUCAAGAGAUUUCAACCAAAGAUUAGGAGUUCCAAUUCAAGGUAAGGGAAAAGCUAAGCUGGAGGAAUAAUGAGUUGGAGCUUGGCAGUGAUUGUACAUAUCGCGGCAGUGUAACCUGGAGGGUUUCGCUCUUUCAACAUUUUGACUUGUAUUAUAUUGAUGCCUGUCGUUUUUAAAAAAAUAAUAAUAUUACGAGAUUUUGUAUUAGUGACUAUAAUUUCAACUGUGUUUUAAAACUUGGGAUCCCGACCCAUAAGUCUAUAUAAAUAAAAUAAGAUUAAUUUUUAGUUUA